rnacentral:misc_RNA from 1 species
GCAAACUUGGUCAUUUAGAGGAAGUAAAAGUCGUAACAAGGUUUCCGUAGGUGAACCUGCGGAAGGAUCAUUAUUGAACUUUGAACCUUGUAGUUGAGCUGGCUCUUAACGGAGCAUUGUGCUUGCUACAUUGUCUUCUUUGUCCACCUGUGCACCUUUUGUAAACGUCUGGAUAACUAUCGCUCAACUAUGUUGAAGCGGAUUGCUGAAUUGAAGUGAUUCUUUCAGUGCUUUCCAGUUCGUUUAUGUUUAUAUCUUCUCAAGUAUGUUUAGAAUGUCUUGUUUACUGGACUCUGUCCUUUAACAACUUAAUACAACUUUCAACAACGGAUCUCUUGGCUCUCGCAUCGAUGAAGAACGCAGC